AGGUAGGCAGACAAUGUAAUAGAGCAGCAGGAAACGCUAGCAGAAUGCUUGGUUGUAUAGGGAGAGGUAUUAGCAGUAGAAAGAGGGAAGUGCUCAUGCCAUUGUACAGAACACUGGUGAGACCUCACUUGGAGUAUUGUACACAGUACUGGAGACCGUAUCUUCAGAAGGAUAUUGAUACCUCAGAGAGGGUUCAGAGAAGCGCUACUAAACUGGUUCAUGGAUUGCGGGAUAAAACUUACCAGAAAAGGUUAAAGGAUCUUAACAUGUAUAGCUUGGAGGAAAGACGAGACAGGGGGGAUAUGAUAGAAACAUUUAAAUACAUAAAGGGAA